rnacentral:rRNA from 1 species
AGAGUUUGAUCCUGGCUCAGAAUCAACGCUGGCGGCGCGCUUAACACAUGCAAGUCGCACGAGAAAGUGGGAAACCAUGAGUACAGUGGCGUACGGGUGAGUAACACGUGGGUAAUCUACCUCUGAGUGGGGAAUAACCCUGGGAAACCGGGGCUAAUACCGCAUAAUCUCGAGAGAGGAGAGCAGCAAUGCGCUGAGAGAGGAGCCCGCGGCCGAUUAGCUAGUUGGUAGGGUAAGAGCCUACCAAGGCAGAGAUCGGUAGCCGGCCUGAGAGGGCACACGGCCACACUGGCACUGAAACACGGGCCAGACUCCUACGGGAGGCAGCAGUGGGGAAUCUUGCACAAUGGGGGAAACCCUGAUGCAGCGACGCCGCGUGAGCGAUGAAGCCCUUCGGGGUGUAAAGCUCUUUCGUCAGGGAAGAUGAUGACGGUACCUGGAGAAGCAGCUGCGGCUAACUACGUGCCAGCAGCCGCGGUAAUACGUAGGCAGCGAGCGUUGUUCGGAGUUACUGGGCGUAAAGGGUGUGUAGGCGGUUCUUUAAGUUUGGUGUGAAAUCUCCCGGCUCAACCGGGAGGGUGCGCCGAAUACUGAGGGACUUGGAGUGCGGGAGAGGAAAGUGGAAUUCCUGGUGUAGCGGUGAAAUGCGUAGAUAUCAGGAGGAACACCGGUGGUGUAGACGGCUUUCUGGACCGUAACUGACGCUGAGACACGAAAGCGUGGGUAGCAAACAGGAUUAGAUACCCUGGUAGUCCACGCCCUAAACGAUGCAUAUUUGGUGUGGGUCAUUCAGUUGAUCCGUGCCGGAGCUAACGCGUUAAAUAUGCCGCCUGGGGAGUACAGUCGCAAGGCUGAAACUCAAAGGAAUUGACGGGGGCCCGCACAAGCGGUGGAGCAUGUGGUUCAAUUCGACGCAACG